rnacentral:rRNA from 1 species
CAGUAGCCGCGGUAAUACGUAAGGUGCAAGCGUUAAUCGGAAUUACUGGGCGUAAAGCGUGCGCAGGCGGUUAUAUAAGACAGAUGUGAAAUCCCCGGGCUCAACCUGGGAACUGCAUUUGUGACUGUAUAGCUAGAGUACGGCAGAGGGGGAUGGAAUUCCGCGUGUAGCAGUGAAAUGCGUAGAUAUGCGGAGGAACACCGAUGGCGAAGGCAAUCCCCUGGGCCUGUACUGACGCUCAUGCACGAAAGCGUGGGGAGCAAACAGGAUUAGAUACCCCAGUAGUCCCUGUCUCUUAUAU